GAGACUCUGUGCGCGUGCAUAUCAAUAAGCGGAGGAAAAGAAACUAACAAGGAUUCCCCUAGUAACGGCGAGUGAAGCGGGAAGAGCUCAAAUUUGAAAUCUUAAAGGGUUUCCCUUUACGAAUUGUAGUUUAAAGAAGUGUUUUCUGUUGGAGUUUCGGUAAAAGUUCUUUGGAAUAGGACAUCAUAGAGGGUGAGAAUCCCGUAUUUGACCGUUACUUUCCAGCUGUGUGAUACACUUUCAAAGAGUCGGAUUGUUUGGGAAUGCAGUCCAAAAUGGGUGGUAAAUUUCAUCUAAAGCUAAAUAUUGGCGAGAGACCGAUAGCGAACAAGUACCGUGAGGGAAAGAUGAAAAGAACUUUGAAAAGAGAGUUAAACAGUACGUGAAAUUGUCAAAAGGGAAGCGUUUGACACCAGUGUUGUUUAGUUGAAAAUCAAUUCAAUAAUUUUUGAUUUUAAGUAGUAUUGACUUCAUCAGCUUGCUGCUUUCUUUUCAGGAAUUAUUGAAUGCACUUUUCAGUUAACAAGUCAACAUCAAUUUCUUUUGUUGUAAAAGGGUAAGAGGAAGGUGGCUUACGCUUCGGCGUAAGUGUUUAUAGCCUUUUAUCUCUGCAAUCGGAGAGAUUGAGGUCUGCAGCGUAGAUCCUUCGGGGUUAGAUACAUUGGUGCUAAGCUAUAGCCUUGUAUAGACAACUUGUUGACUAUGCUCAGUCAUGUAGCUUACUCGCUGAUGCUAUUUUACCUACGCUUAGGAUGUUGAUCUGUAGUGCGUGCGC
rnacentral:rRNA from 1 species